ensembl:scaRNA small Cajal body-specific RNA 7
UGGAUAUGAUGACAGCUGAGGUGUGGUGCUGGUGUGAGUGACAGCUGAAUAAUGUUUAGAAUAAUGUUUAAUGUGUAUUUUAGCUCUGUAUAGUGUGUGUGUGUGUGUGUGUGUGGCGCUGAUGGGUGGGGGUGUCAGAGAUCAGUGCUGAUACAGGAGUGCAUCUGAGGCGGCCGCUCACACCGAGGCUUCUCUGCGGUCUGGCUGAUGAUUAGAGCCUCAGUAUCAUCCUCACCCUCGGCCACCGGCGCCACAAUCUCAGCAGGGCACGUGAUCCGUCACACACGCCCUGCGAUCUGAUCCGA